AGGUGUUCUGGGCGGAUGCGUGUUCUGCUUGCGGCCCUUCAUUAUUGUUAUUUUCUGGGAGUUUGAGUGACGCUCCGUCGCAAUCCGGUUGCGGAAGUUCAGCGCUUUCGUUCAUUACCUGCCAAUCGGCAGGUGGCGUUUAGAUUUGUGGGACUACCUAUCGUCCGGGUCAACGUUACCAGAAUAGCAGACGCCGGACAAGAACCAUCCGGCCGCUUUCGGGAGCAGGUGCUUCUCCCUGGCUUGAAGUCAGUGAGCGUGCGGACAUGUUGGUGCCUGGAGUGGUGAAUGGAUGUCCAGUAAACGCUGUGAUUGAUACAGGAUCCACCACUACAUUGUUGUCAGAGGAUUUUGCUGACCGCCUACCUAAGGAGCUGGAAAAGGAAACCUCAGACCAAGGGCCGAAGUAAAUUGGUGCCAACGGACAACCACCGCCGCCCGAGACGAGGAGGACACCGCUCUGGUAUUUGACAGUGCUCCGCCAGUUGGCGUGAUGGAAAGGCGAACCACGCGUUCCCGCCAUCCGCCCCAGCUGUUUGGGAGUCCUGUGUGCCACUAAUGAGUGACUUCAGUGGUACUGACUGGAUUGGUUGUGUUCGAUAUUACAGUUAGUUUUGGAACAAUUUUGGUAGGGACUCCAAUUUGACCUGCACUCGUGAAGUUAAAAUUGUUAGCCAUAAUCUUAGUUUAAUUUAUUAAGUUACGUAUAACACAAGGACGUGUUCUUUUCCGUGUAAGCGGGGGGAUAUGUCGUAUCCAUACUAUUGACACGUGCCUUUCAGGCCUCUACGUGACAAUUCUGCCUUAUUUAGGUGUCUAAUUAUUUAUUUAUCUCCCGUAAACGGAUUCAUAAUCGCCUUUUCUUUUAUGUCGUAGGGGGGGGGGGGGGAUCAGCCUCCUGCCCGUAGUUAGAUAUUAUGGCAAUUGCCUUUCUCUCUCUCUUUCUUUCUCUCUCUCUCUCUCUCUCUUUCUCUCUCUCUCUCUCUCUCUCUCUCUCUCUCUCUCUCUCUCUCUCUCUCUCUUUCUCUCCCUCUUGCCUUCCGCCUUCAGGCGGAAGCUUCGGCUUUCGUCUCUCUUGCCUUGUGCUCUCAUAUCAUCUCUUGAACUAAGUUGCCUUCGUUGAA